rnacentral:rRNA from 1 species
GACGAACGCUGGCAGCAUGCUUAACACAUGCAAGUCGAAGGGGAAGGCGCGGCUGCUGCGGGGUGACCGAGUCGCACACGUGAGUAUCACGUGAGAAUAACCUCCCCUGGACUUGGGUAUAACCACGAAAAACCGGACCUAAUACCGGAUGGUCACUAAUCUGCAUAGGUUAGUGUUGGAAGGAGGCGCCUGCGGAGAGUCUUGCGUCCUAUUAGCAAGUUGGAGGGGUAACGGUGCACUAAGGCGAAGAUAGUGAGCCGGCGUGAGAGGGUGGACGGCCACAAGGGGACUGAGAUACGGCCCUUACUCCUACGGGAGGCAGCAGUGGGGAAUAUUGGACAAUGGGGGCAACCCUGAUCCAGCAAUUCUGUGUGCACGAAGACGGUUUUCGGAUUGUAAAGUGCUUUCAGCAGGGAAGAAGGAAGUGACGGUACCUGCAGAAGAAGCGACGGCUAAAUACGUG